GCCUUGAUAGUGCAGUGGUUAAGCACAGGGCUGCUAACCCAAAGGUUGGCGGUUCAAACCCACCCAAUGGCU
rnacentral:tRNA from 1 species